GAUGAACGCUGGCGGCGUGCCUAAUACAUGCAAGUCGAGCGAACGGACGAGAAGCUUGCUUCUCUGAUGUUAGCGGCGGACGGGUGAGUAACACGUGGAUAACCUACCUAUAAGACUGGGAUAACUUCGGGAAACCGUAGCUAAUACCGGAUAAUAUUUUGAACCGCAUGGUUCAAAAGUGAAAGACGGUCUUGCUGUCACUUAUAGAUGGAUCCGCGCUGCAUUAGCUAGUUGGUAAGGUAACGGCUUACCAAGGCAACGAUGCAUAGCCGACCUGAGAGGGUGAUCGGCCACACUGGAACUGAGACACGGUCCAGACUCCUACGGGAGGCAGCAGUAGGGAAUCUUCCGCAAUGGGCGAAAGCCUGACGGAGCAACGCCGCGUGAGUGAUGAAGGUCUUCGGAUCGUAAAACUCUGUUAUUAGGGAAGAACAUAUGUGUAAGUAACUGUGCACAUCUUGACGGUACCUAAUCAGAAAGCCACGGCUAACUACGUGCCAGCAGCCGCGGUAAUACGUAAGUGGCAAGCGUUAUCCGGAAUUAUUGGGCGUAAAGCGCGCGUAGGCGGUUUUUUAAGUCUGAUGUGAAAGCCCACGGCUCAACCGUGGAGGGUCAUUGGAAACUGGAAAACUUGAGUGCAGAAGAGGAAAGUGGAAUUCCAUGUGUAGCGGUGAAAUGCGCAGAGAUAUGGAGGAACACCAGUGGCGAAGGCGACUUUCUGGUCUGUAACUGACGCUGAUGUGCGAAAGCGUGGGGAUCAAACAGGAUUAGAUACCCUGGUAGUCCACGCCGCAAACGAUGAGUGCUAAGUGUUAGGGGGUUUCCGCCCCUUAGUGCUGCAGCUAACGCAUUAAGCACUCCGCCUGGGGAGUACGACCGCAAGGUUGAAACUCAAAGGAAUUGACGGGGACCCGCACAAGCGGUGGAGCAUGUGGUUUAAUUCGAAGCAACGCGAAGAACCUUACCAAAUCUUGACAUCCUUUGACAACUCUAGAGAUAGAGCCUUCCCCUUCGGGGGACAAAGUGACAGGUGGUGCAUGGUUGUCGUCAGCUCGUGUCGUGAGAUGUUGGGUUAAGUCCCGCAACGAGCGCAACCCUUAAGCUUAGUUGCCAUCAUUAAGUUGGGCACUCUAAGUUGACUGCCGGUGACAAACCGGAGGAAGGUGGGGAUGACGUCAAAUCAUCAUGCCCCUUAUGAUUUGGGCUACACACGUGCUACAAUGGACAAUACAAAGGGCAGCGAAACCGCGAGGUCAAGCAAAUCCCAUAAAGUUGUUCUCAGUUCGGAUUGUAGUCUGCAACUCGACUACAUGAAGCUGGAAUCGCUAGUAAUCGUAGAUCAGCAUGCUACGGUGAAUACGUUCCCGGGUCU
rnacentral:rRNA from 1 species